rnacentral:lncRNA from 1 species
CCACAAAUGAAUACUAAGUAGAAUAUAUUUGAUGCAAGCAGGAAGAUAAGAGUGUUGAAAGGAAUAUUUUCGGAUUGCCACCAUAAGAUUAAAAAAAAUAUAUUAUUGUUUUCAGCUCUAUUUAUUUUGCUUAUUAAAAGACAUUCAAAAUGAACAACCUAGCUGCAAAAACAGUUGUUUAAGAUGGAAAAACAUACAAAAAAUUGUACUUUUUGAAUAUGCAUGUAUAGAUAGAAAAGGGAUAGACAAAGAAUCUAAAGCUACUGAUUCCAUUUUUUCGCUUCAAUUCCACUAUAAUUGGCAAGGGAAAUGAAGCUGAGGAAUUUCCGGCCACAACCCUGUGGGAAAUUUUGAAGUCAAGGAAAAGUUUGAGCAAGAUCAAAUACAUAACUAGAAAAAAAUAGGGUAUUUCUCUAAAGAUCAAGGAUACCAUAAAGAUGUUCAUAGAUCUGCCAAAAUAAUGCAGUAAAUAUCAGAGUAUGUGUCAUCUUCGAAAAACAAUGGGCAACGCCGCUAUUUUUGACAAAGCAUAAAACUUACAGACGAGAAAGGGGACGAUAUCUGGACCCUAGGCUUGGGCGACUCCGUCGUUUGAAAACGGGACGGCGGUGGCUGGAUACGGGCUGUGCAGAGGGAGGCCGCAGCACAUUCGUCGUCACCGAGGAGGAAGGCGACACCGCCUAGAUGUGACGGCGGAGUCGGUGGUUUGGACUAGGGAGAGUGAUUGAGAGGGAGAAAAUCGGCGUCGUCGCUAAACCACCGGAGGAGAAAAAGGAGAGUGAGCAUCUGGUUUGAGUGUGUUGAGCGGCGCAUUUGGAAGGAGGAGGAAGGUUUGGUUGGGAGAAGAAAACCGAGGGAUGUAGCAGAAGACAGAGGAAGGUUUGGGGUAGAAAAGAAACGAGGGAGAAGAUGAAGGGAGUAGCGGCGCUGAUUCAUCUUCAAACCCUAAAAUGAGAGAGUAUUUGAGCAAUGAACCCUAAAAAGGUGUAGAAGG